GACGAACGCUGGCGGCGUGCUUAACACAUGCAAGUCGAACGGAAAGGCCCUGCUUUUGUGGGGUGCUCGAGUGGCGAACGGGUGAGUAACACGUGAGUAACCUGCCCUUGACUUUGGGAUAACUUCAGGAAACUGGGGCUAAUACCGGAUAGGAGCUCCUGCUGCAUGGUGGGGGUUGGAAAGUUUCGGCGGUUGGGGAUGGACUCGCGGCUUAUCAGCUUGUUGGUGGGGUAGUGGCUUACCAAGGCUUUGACGGGUAGCCGGCCUGAGAGGGUGACCGGCCACAUUGGGACUGAGAUACGGCCCAGACUCCUACGGGAGGCAGCGGUGGGGAAUAUUGCACAAUGGGCGGAAGCCUGAUGCAGCAACGUCGCGUGCGGGAUGACGGCCUUCGGGUUGUAAACCGCUUUCGCCUGUGACGAAGCGUGAGUGACGGUAAUGGGUAAAGAAGCACCGGCUAACUACGUG
rnacentral:rRNA from 1 species